CUGCCGUGAGCCUCAGGCCGAGCUCGGCGAUCGUUUGCCUGCUUCUGCUGCUGUUGGAGGCUAGCACACAUCAUAGCUGAGAGGGCUUCACUGAUGCCUGUUUUACUGGAGAUUCCGAUGAAGGAUCUUUGUCGUGGAAACUUGCAGCAGGGUAAUUGAAUUUAGUGAGAAAAGCAUUAAGAAGUCUGAAAAAUGUGCAGCUAAGUGGAUAGAAGUGGAAGAAAGUCUUGAAAGCAAAGUCCCUGCUGAGCACAAAGUUGUGAAACUUUGUGAAUCAACUCAAACUGAAAGGAACUGCAGAUGCUGGUUAAUACACAAAAGGGCAUAAAGUGACCUGACCAAAGAAGAGUCUCGACCCGAAAUGUCACCUAUCCAUGUUCUCCAGAGAUUUUACCUGAUCUGCUGCAUUAUUCCAGCACUUUGUGUCCUUUUAUUUUUUAAUAAGACUACAACAAUAAUGACCAGUAGGAGCACCUUACACUAAAUCUAUGACACGGCAGGAUCCAAGACAAAAAAAUCCCAGGUAAGUAUGAUUUUUAAAAACUUUUUAAAUGUUAUUUGCUGAGCCAGAUUGACAAACAUCUCAUAGUCCUAAUCCCAGCUGCUUUAUAUUCUGUCCACUGGUUCCAGCAGAGCUGACACCACCAAAUCUGCAGGGUCAACAAAAGGGCACUGCAAAAUUUCUCAUAAAUCUAAGUAGUGCAAAAAAUCAACAGACGUAACCUGACCACUGGCUAGAAAUCAUGCUGCCUGCACCAUAUUUGGAUAAUAUUUCCAUCCACUCGCCACUGUAGCUACUGUUCCUCUUGGCCCUCAGAGAAAGGCUGAUUUAUCAAAAUUUCUUUUAAACAUCAAAUCUGUGUUGACAAUGCCAAUUGGAACAAUGUCAACUGUGCUGUCUAUGAAACAUUGCACCCACUCAGUAUCUUUCUUGUACAGAUAUGUUAGAUUCUUUGGAGGAGGACCCAUGGCUUCAGCUGAUACAGGACCCCAAACACCAUCUACCUUGUUGUCAAUUUGCCUUGUUAGUGACUGCCAGAGAUUCUGCUUCU